rnacentral:lncRNA from 1 species
GGCGGAAGCGACUAGAAAUAUAUACACAAAAUGAAUUCCUCCCAAAACCUGGAAGUCACAAGUACAGAGCUGCAAACAAAAGUACAAGUCCUAAAAGUGGACCACAGAAACAAGCUGUCUAAAAAGGCAAAAGACAAGCAAAAGUAAGUACAGAAGGAGACGGGCAAAUCCAGGAUGUUGUGUGCUUACCCUUGCCUCCGAUCACGACCGCAGCUGGCUCGAAUUAAUGUCGAUAAAUAAUACUCGGACCUACAUCACGAAAAUAGAUGCAGAGUGUAGUAUGAGUACCAAAACAACAGGUACCCAGUAGGCAUCAGGCCGACUGAGCAAGAUAAGCAAAAGUGAACUGAAAUGCAAAUAAAGGGUCACAAUCAAGGGUAAAAAAGUAGUAAAUGUGGGUAUGUACACGAGCGUAUAGGCAACAAAGACAAGGAAUCUAACUAACUUUGUCGGACUCCCAUAAACCCGACGGGUACGCUCGUGCACAAUAAAAGAAACCACCUGCACGGAACCCCAUAAGCCCGGCAGAUACACCGGCAGUUGAAGUAAAAUAAUGCAGCUAGAAGGUCUAUCACAAUAUUACCAAUUUCCGGACGUUAACUGAACCAUUCCCAAUUAUAUUCCAAGAUCUCAUUACGUCCCGGACUUUAACCGGAAUCUCUUCAACCUCCAAAACCUCAACCUACAGAUGAGAGUAAUCAAGACUAAACUGAAGCUUCAGUGAGGAAUUGGGAAUACACCACGUGCAAGCUGGACCACGGACUCGAACCGGGUACUAUAGCUAAUGAGUCAACCUAUAUGGGCUGGACCACGGACUCGAACCGGGUACUAUAGCUAAUGAGUCAACCUAUAUGGGCUGGACCACGGACUCGAACCGGGUACUAUAGCUAAUGAGUCAACCUAUAUGGGCUGGACCACGGACUCGAACCGGGUACUAUAGCUAAUGAGUCAACCUAUAUGGGCUGGACCACGGACUCGAACCGGGUACUAUAGCCAAAACCAGAUCACAGGUAAGCUGGACCACGGACUCUAACCGGGUACUGUAGCUAAAACCAGAUCACAGGUAAGCUGGACCACGGACUCUAACCGGGUACUGUAGCUAAAACCAGAUCACAGGUAAGCUGGACCACGGACUCUAACCGGGUACUGUAGCUAAAACCAGAUCACAGGUAAGCUGGACCACGGACUCUAACCGGGUACUGUAGCUAAAACCAGAUCACAGGUAAGCUGGACCACGGAAAACUCUAACCGGGUACUGUAGCCGAUAGAAAAGCAGGGCAUUAUAGAUACAAGGUCAUAAGCUGAGUUACCGCCUAGCUAAGGCUCAAACUAUCAGACUCAAGACUGCUAUAUCAGUCUACAAGGAGCUGACCGUCCGAAACGACGUCGGAAAAAGUUCUACUGCCCAACGGCAUCCGAAAUCUCGCAAGUCUAUGGCAACACUAGUCUAAGCCUAGACUAAGGCCAAACAUACUUCAAAUCAAUAUUAUCAUAUACACCACAAGGUACGGAUGUUCAAUAAUAUCAAGAGACAUGCUGUCAUAAUCAAACACUUUCCCGAAAUAAGGUCUAAGGCAGGAAUUAUAGAAAUUUAGCAUGCUCGACACCCGAACCCCUCCAUACUCAAGCAAAUCAAUAAACAAUUGACGGUCUCUAAAUGCUUCCCCACUAUCAAAAGGUUAAUCACCUCAUCAUUACGAAUAUGUUGACACUAAAAUUAUAUUUUUCGGAGACGGACCCAAAAUUGGGUCUAAAACGGGAUUGUGGGACCCACAAUUGGAAUCCCGAAAACGAAUCCGUGAAACGUCCCAAAUACUUUACUAAACUAAUACCCCAAAAUUUAGCACAAAAAGAUGCCUAAAACAUAGCAAAUCAACCCCCAACAAUUAAAAUCAUUAAUAAGUCUUGACUUACGACUUGGCAGCCCCUUGAUCACCAAUUUCUGGAAAAAUGAGACCCUUCCAACCCAAAAAGAUUAUACCACGACGAUCCUUGCGAAAAACUCUACAAGUUACCCUCAAGAAUGACUCAAAACGGACCUAAGAUGAUCAAGAUCUAACCUUUCAAAGUUCAACAAAAAUUCAUUCCGGAAAUCACUCUAGUAGUAGCUAAAUUCAAUUCCUUACCUCAAACGAAGCCUCCCCUAACGUUUCUGAGCUCACCUCUAGAUUCCCCACGGAAUUCUCUUGAAAUUAGCCUUUUGAAUCACCUAAUUUGAGCUUAAAAUGGAGGAGAUAUCUAUGUUUGAAGAUGAG